AUGAUGAGGUUAAUAGGUUCGAGGUGGAAGCGUGGUGACACGUGGAGCUGACGAAUACUAAUCGAUCGAAGACUUAAUCAAUUU
rnacentral:rRNA from 1 species